GCUGUGAAGAUGGUUGAAAUGACAACAACGGACUUAGACUACUCCAUAAACUGAGCUAAGCAGCGUGGGGCUUGAGAGGCUGAGUCCGACUUUGAAAGAAGUUCUAAUGUGGGGAAAACGCAAUCAGCAUUGCAUGCUACAGAGAAAUCGUGCAUGACAGGAAGAGUUAAUCGAUUUGGUAGCCUUCGUCGUGGUCUUAUUUUAAGAAAUUGCCACAGCCAGCCCAGCCUUCAGCAGCCCCCACCCUGAUCCAUCAGCAGCAUCAAUGUGCAGGCAGGACCCUCCACCAGCAAAAAGACUGUGACUCACUAAAGCCUCAGAUGAUUGUUCAACCUCUUUAGCAAGAAAAUAUUUUUUAAAAUUAAGACUGGGGAGUAAUUCUAACUCCCGUGACUUCGUCGUGCCUCGAAGUAGAAGUCUAGACAUCUGGAUUUGGACAUCUGGAUUCAUCCCUUGCUGUAUCCUCUAGGUUCUUUAAGGACACCGUCAAAGAUGGUGACCGACGCAGACCCUUGUAAAACGUCACAAGACUGGCAUACUUGUAGGUGAUAAGGACGGAGAAAUAAAACAUAGGAUCUCAGCCCGGCCUUACAGGGUUGCCUUCGCAGAGUCCCAUAAAUUGCGUGGCUGAAACAGAAGUAAGGAUUCUGAAGGCUUGGACUCUGGAGUCAAGUCGCAGGUAAGCCUCGACCUGCAGGUGCCCUUCCUUCCUCUUCUCAGCUCCGGGUCCUGGACUGGCAUCUUUGGCCUGUUCAGGCUUUCGCAGUAUCUGCCCAUGGCUUUCCUCCUGUGUGACUGUCUUCUUAUAAGGACACCGAUCAUACUGGAUUAAGGGCCAGCCUGAAUCGAGUGUAACCUCCUCGUAAGUAAUCACAUCUGCAGUGACUCUGUGUCCACGUCGGGUCACAUUCCGAGGGGCUUCAAAUGCACGUUAGGACCUCCACGGAUCUUUUCCGGAGAACACAGUUCGCCCGCCGAGAGCCCUCAUGCGCCAGUGACAUCCGUCGCGCCGAGAGGAGAAGAAAGUGCCUCUUCUGGGACGGAAGCCGGGUCUGGGUGGCUGACACUCUGCUGGCGGGAGAUGGGGAGCCCCAGGGAACACAGGCCAUCUUCUCUGCAGGCUCCGUGCCCUCUGCUCACUGGGGACCCCCUCUGUCCUCCCAGUGGGACAGAGUGGAGGCGUCCCUGACCAAAGGAGGCCUCCAGCGACGUUGACGGCGCUCCCGACCCGGGCCUCAAGUUUGCCGCCACGCCCAGGGCCUGUGGCUUCAGGACGAAGGCCCGUUUGGAGUGAGCCCCGCAGGGGACGGGAGGAGGGCCUCUCGCUCCUGUCUGCUCUCCGGUUGGUUUGCCAGGAGCGUGUCUCCUGUGACAAGAGCCGCUCCCACUUCGCGCAGCAGCCCGCGGACCGGGGCUCUCAAGUGACUGGGGAGGCAGAUGGGAGAGAAGCCGCCAGAGGAUGCUUUCCCGACCAUCUGGAGAAAAGACCACGAAGCGCUUUCGCAGGAAAGAGUGCGCUCACGCCCUUGCGGGUGAGCGCCCGACGUGGCGGGAGGUGGGAAACAAACGCGCCUCGCAGCCCGCGUUUCCUCGAGGGCUGCUGCCGGGAGCUGAGCGUCCGGAGGAGCAGGGAGGCUGUUUACACAACAGACUGCUUCGUGUGCCUGAGCUGCUCCACUGACAGCGGCUGCUCGAAGGCCGAUCAGGGGUCCCUCUUUUCUUGAAGGGUGGUAAUUCAUCGGCUUGCGCUGGGAGAGUCCAGGUCAGGGUGAGAAAGAGGCUUUGGAAGUCGGGUGCCCGGGUCUCAGCUGGGGCAGCUCCGUGUCUCCGCUGGUCAGGUGUGGAGUCAGGGCUUCAGCAGCCGGGCCGGAGCUGCUGGGCUGGUGCUCUUGAGCCCCUGGUUCCCAACUCAGACCCGCUAGGCCUGUUCUGUAACCCCCCCAACCCGCGGUUCCCGAGAAGGCGGGGGCGGGGAGAACAUGCAGAAGGGAGUCCUAGGUCCUCCAGGAGGGAGAAGGAGUAGGCCUUCUUCUCGGUGAUGUUUGUGCUCCGAGUUCCCGUGCACGUGAGGUUCGGCUGCGUAGCACGUGCAGUGCACCAAGUGGGGGACCUGCCACCCACUGGAAACGAGGGCAUCACUGCUUCCCAGGGAGAGAACAGGGCUGUGCUUUCUCUCUGCUUCUCUGCUUUUUGUUUCACAAGGCGUUGGGUGUGGGGCUUGUGCGUGGCAGGGAGGCAGGGGGACAGGGGGACACUGGGAGCCUGUGGGCCCCCAGCCUGGGUAGCCUUUUCGGGAGUCUAACCCAGCUCGGUGCUUCAGGAGGCGGGCGGGCCCUGCCUCCCUCCGCCUCCCCUGCUGCCCCAGUCUCAUCCUGGGGGGUCAGGAGAACUGGUCCAGGGUCACCUCGUCUGGAACACUUCCUGGUCCAUUCUGAGGGCACCUCAGGAGUGAGGUGACGUUUCCAGACCCCAGGGCGUCUGUGGACAGAGAUGGACCAACAGAGCCCCCCCUGAACUGCUCUGAUGAGCCUCCGCCCAGGCCUCUGCUCCAGGUCGGCCCUCCGAGAUGCCCUGACCUGCCUCCCUCUGCGAUACCCUCACCUGUCCCCACUGCCCUGCCUGGCCGGCCGGGGUUCCAGCCCUUGUGCUAGAGGCACAGACGCCUUUUGUAUAGAAAGCGUAAAGAGGCAGCUCCGUGUCACGUGUCAUUAGUUUCACAAGGAGAACUGUAGAAGCUGUGGCUUUGACAGUUUCCCAGGAUCUCUCACAAUCACUUUUUCUCUUGCUUCCACGGCUUAAAGCCAGCCCCCCCCCCACCCCCCGAGACAUCUGUUGGGAACCGCAUGGUCGCAUUGCCUGCUCUGUUUUCCGUAUUUAUGUAGGCGUAAGUAUCAGCCUUGCUCUGGCUGGAGCCGGCCCACAUUAGAGAGAGAGAUGGGUCAGGAGGAAAAUCCCGAAGCUUGGACGCUCUGCUCACCUGCCACGUUCAUCGUUCCGUGGGAGCUGAAUGAGCAGGCUCCCCGCCCCGGUGAGUUUGGGAGGAAAGUUAAUUUUCACCGCUGGAUCGAUGAUCAGAUUUCACGGGUCUGGUAUGUUUAAUGUAACGUGGGCCUGCGGAGCACCGACUGUGUGCCACGCACGGUGCAGGGUGCUCGGCCCGAGCUGAGCCACGCAUCAUUCCUGUCCCCAGGGCUCAUUAUGACAGAGCCCCCGGGGAGCUGAGGGUUUGCACUUCAACCCAGAGAAUCAGCUCACACUCCUGACGGGCUGAGCCUGAGCCUCCCUGAGACUCUGCCCCGUCAGCCCCUGUGGCGACCUGCUGACUCUUCCACGGCAGGAACAGGAGCUCCUGGGAUUUGCCAGCAGCCGGGACUGAACAUAUGGCAACAGAUAACUCGACUGACACCUGGGUGGCUCUUGAGUGUUUGUGGCAUUUUCUAAUCAUCACGCCUAUAAUGUGGUCAUGAUAGAUGCUACUUCCAUUUUACUGAUAACAAAAUUGAGGCUCAGAUAAUGUCACACGGCUCCCCCAAGUCAGGCGCCAGGACAGCAGGGACAGAGCUGGACUGGGACUAAGUCUGGUAAUUACUCCUUCCCCACCCUGUUUUUCUUGCUGCAUUUUAUUCAAACCUAUUAAUUGGGCAAUGAUCAUUUAAAACUAUUAAUAAUAGUCUUGUUUGUGUUUAUGGUAGAGAAAAUACUACUUCAGUUAAUAAUUUGCUGUUGGUACACUGAAAAUAACAUCUCUACUUCAAACUCUUUAUUUUCUUUUUUUUUUUUUUUUUUUUUAGGGCUGUACCCACGGUGUAUGGAGGUUGCAGACGCGGCUCGGAUCCCGCGUUGCUGUGGCUCUGGUGUAGGCCGGUGGCUACAGCUCCGAUUCGACCCCUAGCCUGAGAACCUCCAUGUGCUGUGGGAGCGGCCCAAGAAAUGGCAAAAAGACAAAAAAAGAAAAAAAAAAAAAAAGAAAAGAAAGAAAAUGAGACUGUCAGAAGCUGAGUCUGGCUCAAGAUCUGCCAGGACACAUGCUGUGUGUAACUCAGUACCUUAAACGCGACACUAACAGCAGUGCCUGUGAUGGACACGAACUCCACUCCUGGACUUGAGGGGAGCCGGGGGCUCAAGAAGCUGAUGUUACACCCGGACCGAGGGUGAGGCCAGAGCUGAGCAGGAAGGGGUCUGCUUGCUUGUCCUCUGAAAUCCUUUGGGAUUAUAUAACUGAAAGGUCAAAAUUCUGCAGGCUUUUUUAAAAAGCAUGUACUAAUGGUUUAUGAAUAGAGUCUGGACAAGUUGUUUUGCGCCCUUUUUUUCCUAAUUAAGGGAUCCAAACAGAGUGGGUGGACUUGGAUUCCUCCGAGAGGUGUUUUUGACGUGCCCGGCGCGGAGGCGCAGGGAUGCCAGGGUCCGAAAGGGCCGGACCAAGAACUCAUCGCGGCGCCACUGGUGGGCUCCAGUUUGGUCCGGCAGCCCCUCCCCCGGGCCGCCCCCCAGUCCGAGGGUCGAGAUUUAUUUGGGAUCGAAUAGAAACGAGGCAUGUGCAAAGCUUACACACAUACCCUUGUUUGAAAACGGGCGGCUUGGUCUUUUCCGUGUCCUCUGUAAAGCUGAGGACUGGAAACUCAUCAGGAAGACAGAGUCAUUCACGCGAAGCGUGUGUCCUGCGAGUCAGGCUGCGAGUCAGGAAGCGCGAUGGAGGAGCCACUUCUGCCACCAGGCCAGUCGCAGAGGCGCCCGAGCUGCGCUGCGGGUCCGCCCGGCGGGCGGGCUUCCCUCUGACCGCUUGUAUUUGCUGGCUCGUGUCCGGAUAUCGGCAGCGUGGUCUCGUGAUCGUGUGCACAGGUCGUAGCCCUUAUCGAAGUAUGAAGUGGUCUGAUCACCAGCGUGUAUUACUCAGUGUUUGCAAAGCUAUGCGCUUCCAGGUAUGCUAACAUACGUUGCAAGGAAUCGGGCGCAUCCAUGUCCUGUUUCCUUUUCACCUUCACGCCUUACAGAACCUAGGACCUUCCAGAAAUAUUUUCAUGUCACGCAAGCAGAUUAUUUACAUGAGAAGCAUCCCGUCCAAUGAGCCCCGAUCCCAUUCAGUUAGGCAGCUCUUUCUUUUGUGCAUGGUAUGCAGGCACCGUGGUGCAACAGCAGAUGCCUUGUUGGCAUCACUUGAUGAAUCCAUUAUUUCAGUUUCAAUUCCACUUUCCUGACUGAACCGUAAAGAAGCCACGCUCUUUCCACUUUUGUUUCUCAUGUUCCUGUUGCCCCUGCUCCUCCAACGACCCCUUUUGUGAGAGAUGAAAUUCCACCUGCAUCCACGGAUAGAACAGCACUGUUCCAAUUUGUUUGAAUUCUUAACUGAAACACGCACUCUCGAGUCCACCACUGAGGGGGCAGAACGCCCUAGCAAGCGUUGGCCACAUGAGUGUCAGGAGAUUGCUGUGCCAGAAAGUGACGACGGGACACAGACUCUCAGAGGGGCUGAAGCAAGGUUCCUGGAAUAAGACGAGUGGUUAAUGUGUUUUUUCUAUUAAAAAUGUUAUCGGGGCCAGGACACGACAUGAGAUCUGUUCUCUGAGCGCAACUCCAUAUUGUCACCUGUAAGCACGAUGUUGAACAGCAGGUCGGUAGAAGGUAUUCAUCUUACGUAACUGAAACUUCUGUCACCCAGGAGAUCUAGCUGGUUCCCCCGUGAAGGCGGUUUGGGGGGACACGAAGAGCCGAAAAAGGGGACGCGUGACCUUAGGGCCGGCGGACGUUCGGCGCGUCCCAGGGGCUCACUCUGAAGAAGGGAAGAGAAGUGUCUGCAGGAGAGAUGAUCUCAGAACGUUUUUCAUUUGAUCGUGAACGUGGACAAAAUAUACACAGAGAUGCGGUGGUAAGUAUCUUUAUCAUUUUUUAAGUACCUCCUUCCAGGAGUGAGCGCCACCUCACUCUGGAGACGGGGAGUGCCAUCCCUAGCUAACGAGACAGGUUAUUCCUCGGAGCCAGCUGGGCGCAGGGUGAUCAGUGUGACGACAAAGUGCCAGCUCCCCUCUUCCGUUUCCGCGCCUUCCUGCAGGAUCUCCGAUGCAUUGAUCGUUUUGUCUUUGUAGGGCCGCCCUCAGCAUGUGGAAGUUCCCGGGCUAGGGGUCGCAUCGGAAUGACAGCUGCUGGCCACAGCCACAGCCGCAGCCAGGCCAGAUCCCAGCCACAUCUGCGACCUACACCACAGCUCAUGGCAACACCGGAUCCUGCACCCACUGAGCGAGGCCGGGGAUUGAACUGCGUCCUCAUGGAUCCUGGUUGGGUUUGUUACCGCUGAGCCACAACAGGACCGCCUUUUUUUUUUUUUUUUUAAUUUGUAAUUUGAUGGGUCACUUUUCACAUUUCUCAAGGUCUCGACCUAUUAUUUUCUACUUACGAAGAAUCGGACGGUGCGUGCCGGUCAUCACAUCCCCAAAUCUAAAAGAGCUGGCGGGAGAGGCAGUGCUGAUGUUAACUAACCAGAUCCUGCCUGAAUCUUGGUCCCUCUCCUGACACAAAUAGAGAAACUCUCUAGGCGCUGAACGGUGUAUGUCCUUAUGAUGCAGUUUCCCAGUCACGUAGGACUGGACCUUGGGAGAACCUGCCUCUAUGGCUAAUGUUUUUGUUUUUAACGGAAGUAUAAUUUACGGUGGUAAAGUGAGCGACAUAUGAAUGGAGAGCUCGGAGUAUCAUCGCAAAACAAAGCCCUGUAAUUAACAUUCCCUUCAAGAAACACAGUAUCUCCAGCUUCCCAGACCCAUCCUGUGCUCUGCCCGCCCCCCCAUCUCUAACCCUUCACCCUCCCCUGAGGUAUCCACUACCCCAGAUGGGGGCUAUGGUUCCGUCUUCCUGGUGUAAACGUUAUGCAAGUGGAAUCACAAGAGUCUCUACUAUUUGGGGAUGGGGUUUUGCCCUCGGUGUUAUGGACAUAAGAUUCAUCCAUGCUGUUUCAUGUAGCUUCACUUUGUUCAUUUUUAUUGCUCUGUCGAAUUCCACUGCGUGCAUAUAGCACAUGUAUUUAUUCUUUCUGCUCAGGAUGGGCAUGUGGAAUUGCUUCUAAUUGUCGGCUGUUGUGGAGAGUGGUGCUAAGGAAUAUUCAUUCAGAUACGCGUCUCAUGGUGCCCGUGUGUGUGCGUUUCUGUUUAGUACGUACUUAGAUGUACAAUUGCCAAGUCGCCAGGAAUGGCCGUGGUCAGCUUUGCCAGACGUGAAAACGCUUCCUGACGUGGUUGCAUCGGUUUAGAGGCCCUAGUAACCACGAGCAUCCCCUUUGCUCCGCAUCCCUGCCGAGACUUUGUGUUAUCUCUCUGUGACAUUUUACUUACUCUUCUGGGUUCUUAGCGAUAUUUCACUAUGGUUUUAAUUAGCAUUUUCCUGGUAAAUAAUGAAACUGAGUAUUUUUCAUUUGUUUAUUGGCCAUUUGGAUAUAUUCUCUUUUGUGAAAUGCCUAUUCCAGUCUCUUGCCUAUUUUUCCAUUGGAUAUUCCAUACAUUUUUCUUCCUGAUUUAUUGGAAUCCCUCAUACACUCUGAGUGUGAGCCUGUCGCCAGUUAUGGCUGAGACGUAUUUUUCUUCUUCCGAUACAUGGAUUGCCUUUUGCUUUCUUUUCUUUUCUUUUUUUUUUUUCAUCCUUUUGUUGCUGGAAUGUAAAAAUCAAUUUUUAAAAUUAUACUUUGUAACAAAUGAGUUUUCUAGGCUCAUUAUUUCUAAUACUUUCUCUGUAGAUUUUUUUUUGGAUUUUCUAUGUAAAAAGUCAUAUUGUCUGUGAAGGAGGAGUUUUGUUUCUUGUUCAUUGCAUUUUUAAAUUUGUUUUCCCCACUUUAUCGAACUGGUUAGGAAUGCCAUGUGUCUGGUAGUGCUGGAAGGUAUAUGCAUCUCCUCCUCAGUCCCAGAGAAAUGCUUUCAGUGCUUCCCCAUUAAGGGUGACGCUUGUGAGAGGCUCUUUUUUGGGCCGCCUUUUAUCACAUUAAGAUCAUUUCUUUCUAUUUCUAGCUUUUGCUGAGAGUAUUUGUCAUGAGUGGAUGCUAAAUAUUAUCUAACGACUUUCUACAUAUUCUAGAGAUAAUCAUAUGGGGAUUUUUUUGCCUUUGAUUCUAAGAACAUAAUAAAUUACGCUCAUCAAUUUUUGAAUGUUAACUCAAUCUGGCAGUUCCAUUAAUCUAAUCCUUUUGUAAUGUAUCAUCCUUUUCAUAGACUGUUGGAUUCUGUUUGCCAGUAUUUCGUUUGGGGUUUUCCUCUCUAAAUUGUGAGUGAGGGGGAGUUCCCGUCGUGGCGCAGUGGUUAACGAAUCCGACUAGGAACCAUGCGGUUGCGGGUU
rnacentral:lncRNA from 1 species